CAGUCGCCGCGGUAAUACGUAGGGGGCAAGCGUUGUCCGGAAUUAUUGGGCGUAAAGGGCUCGCAGGCGGUUUCUUAAGUCUGAUGUGAAAGCCCCCGGCUCAACCGGGGAGGGUCAUUGGAAACUGGGAAACUUGAGUGCAGAAGAGGAGAGUGGAAUUCCGCGUGUAGCGGUGAAAUGCGUAGAGAUGUGGAGGAACACCAGUGGCGAAGGCGACUCUCUGGUCUGUAACUGACGCUGAGGAGCGAAAGCGUGGGGAGCGAACAGGAUUAGAUACCCGCGUAGUCCCUGUCUCUUAUAC
rnacentral:rRNA from 1 species